ensembl:snoRNA
GUGCAGACUUUUCCAGCGAGGCCGAGCCUGUGGUGGCUCCGUCCUUUCCUGUAGUGUCUGCUAGAGAGACAUGGGGCGGUUUGAGGCCCUGCUGUGACUCUUCAUGGCAGGGUUAUAGGUAAACCUCAGACAAUC